rnacentral:rRNA from 1 species
UACGAAGGGGGCUAGCGUUGCUCGGAAUCACUGGGCGUAAAGCGCACGUAGGCGGCUUUUUAAGUCAGGGGUGAAAUCCUGGAGCUCAACUCCAGAACUGCCUUUGAUACUGAGAAGCUUGAGUCCGGGAGAGGUGAGUGGAACUGCGAGUGUAGCGGUGAAAUGCGUAGAUAUCGGGAGGAACACCUGUGGCGAAGGCGGCCACCUGGUUGGAUACUGGACGCUGGAGACGCGAAAGCGUGGGGAGCA